UCAACUGGCACAGAUCCGGCACGUGGCUGCACAUCUACGUGGAGGGCGACAUAAGGCGGAAACGAAGCAUACAAAAAAUUUUGUUAACCAUUAUAAGGAAUAUAUUGUGUAUUAAUUCAUUAGAAGACACAAUUUACAGUGCUACAUUUUUUCUGUCUCCAAAUGCAGUGCAGGUCACGAGGCUUUCUCUCAAACCUAAUCUCGACUAAUAAAAAUACUCAGGUUUUGGAGAAACCUAUAUUAUAUAAUGAUCAAGCCGCAGUAAGUAAUUGUAAUAAAAUUGAAAUAAAAACAAGAAAUCGAGAAAGCAAAAUACAUUUAUUAAUAUUUUCCAUUAUCCAUUAAGGUUGUCGUUGUUUUAUCAAUCAGAGACAAAUUUCUUAAUAAAUAUGGAAUUUAUUGUGUCGAAUCUUCCGAUGAACUGAGAAAAGUGAUUCGCAACCUGAAACGACAGCGACUUAUUACGUUCAGUUAAGAUAUUCCACUAAUUAUUAUGCUUGACGCUAAAAUGUUUUUCUACAGACUGACAACAUGACCGUGGAAACUCCACAAUGACAAUACAGGAUGAAACGAUUCUAUUUAUUUACCUAAUCGAAACUUCCAUUCAAUUACCAGGCUCUGGCAGUUUGAUACCCCUGAAAGAAGGCUUCAUCAAAUGAGAUUAUAAACAUCCAGCAAAUGCGUACUAAGCCACAAAUAGUGGCUGCGCCUAAAUACGUUUCGGGAACAAACAGAAACAUGUUUAUAAUUUAUAAAGGAGACGUAACUUAAUUCCUCAACCGAAGCAUUGCUAAGCGUCCGGCUCGUUAAAACAUUUUUACGAAAGCCGCGAGUGAAAAUGUUUAAAGACCAUGACUUCGCAGCUCAUUGUUUGCGUGAACAAAGGCGCGCAUGCUCCUCAACAAAUAUGCGUAUAUAAUGAUUUGUAGGUAGGUGGUAUCGUUUACACACAAUACAAGUUCGCAUCUUUUAGAGCUUUCAAUGAUAACAUACUACUGUUAAUAUUAUCCCUUUAGCUAUACACAUUGACCCGUGGUUGCGCAGUGGUAACGUGUUUGCCUACUAAACCUAAAGAUAUGUGUUGGUCUAGAUCAAAACCGGGCGUAGACGCACUUCCUUUUAUGCUAGCACUUAGCCGUCUAAAGCAUCGCUUAACGGCAAUAUAAGACGUAAAGCUCCUAAUAUCUGUUUAACUAUAGUACUGUGUCUAAUUAAGUUGAUCAAUCACAAGUAAUCAUGUUUGGUACGUCGGACACUUGCAAAAAUCAAGGGUUCUUUUUCUGCACCUUAACCUGAAAUUUAAAAAAAUUUGCACGGUUUCUUUAGACAAAACUUGUCUAGCAAACAAAUUAAAUGCUUCUAGUAAAGCUAGAAUAACGAAAACGAUAAGAUGUGGAACUAUGAUCCUAUCGAUGACGUAAAUGUAACAAACGCUUGAUUAGUGAUGAUGCCAAAGUAUUACACAAAUCUGAGCUGUCCGCAUGUAGCUAGCCCUUCUUGCAUAUUCAGUCGGUUUUCCUGUAUCGCCCCAGUCGGCAGCGCUUUAGUUGAAAAAUUUUAUAUUCUGCUAAUUACGACCAAUUUUAAAUAUUUUUCUAUUUAGUGACACAUGAUACGUCAUAUGUCGACAGCAACGCUUUUUUGGUGGAAAUUUAGGCAUUACAGAAUUAACGUGGAACAAUUUUCAAGCGGAUUAGAAUGACAGGUUUUACCGACGUGUGCUUGUGCACAGCUCCGAAACGAAGCACAAUGCGCCGAAGUUUGACAGUUCCGCACACUAUAUCGAUAUCGUGCCAAGUGCUUCCAGCGACUCAAAAAUGGCAAGUAUAAAUAUGACGCUCAUAAGAAAAUACUUAAUGGAUAAUAUCUUAUUGCUAUAUAUUUUUCUGUUCAAUAUGUCAGAAUUCUCAAAAAAAAAAUCAUAAAAACGAUCGCUGAAAUAAUAACCAAAACAGUAUUGGUCACAUAUGAGGAAAAUAAUUCUUGUUUUGAUACUGCCGCUAAAAAUAGGGGAGAAGAUUUCGCCUAGGAACUUCGAUAACAAUCAGCCAAUUUUCUGGACUUGGUACGAACCGAUCGUUAGUCUAUUUCAAUCAAUCCAACUACGUCCAUUUCAAGACAUGACUUCAGUUGUACUUAAUGGAUUGCGAUAGAAAAUUAAGCGUCCUUUUAUUGAAAAAGCUUUGCAGCCAUCAGUCUAAGAGGAUAAAGCAAUAACUAAAACACAUUUCCUUUUUAGACGGGUGUUCAAGUGUCUUGAACCGCUGUCGAAAUUCACAAGACGCCUAACAUGUUGUAGAGCCUGAGCUGAGUGUUAUUGUGACUAGCAUAAUAUGGCUUCGGAAUACGAACAACGGCUAGCGCUUGGGAAAUUGUUGAACCCGUUCUUCAGCGAUGGAGUGUCCGCCGAUACCAUUAUCGACUUGAUUGGUUACUGUGACAUACAACAUGUUCAGACUGUUGCUGUUAGUCGUGGCGAGUCGAACGGUCAGUGUUCAUGAAAUGCUUCGCUAACAAAACAAAAAUGUCUUGUCGAGCCGAGAUAAUCUUAUACCUUCGCAAACCUAGCCAUAAACAGCCCCGAUUCAACUCUACUCUCGAUCAGCAUGCUUCAGUGUUCAGCGCAACGCCGUCCACUGAGGUUCUAACCUUUCCGUCUAAAAUGUGAUGAUCGUAUUAUAAAUUUUGAUUACUGUCGCCUACAACAAUGCUGAUGAUUAAAUCUGGUUACUCCCCCAACACACCGAUACCUGUAUGAGAGUUAAAGACCUCGGUAAUUAGUUAGUUCUUUUUAAACACAGAUUUAUCAACUGUAGGUAUAUUGAAAGUUCUUCGUACAGACGGAGAUCAAGUGAGAAAGUGUGAGAACCAAUGAAUCCAUAUUAACAAUAUAGAAUAACGGUAUGCUAAAGCAUUGAGUCACGACGUAGACUCAGUUCCAUGGCUAAAACAUUGACCUUACAAAGGUCGAGAAUUCAAAUUUUCUGGCUGGCGCUUUUUAAAUCUGUAUAAUAAAAAUACAAGUCGACUUGUUAACCCUAAUAAAGCGUUACACCAGAAGCUCUGACUUGUUAUAGAUUAUUUAGCUGGGUAUAUAGACAUAUCGUCAGGGAGAUGCGCAGGCUUUCCUACUGAUUGUAUUUUGCUUGUGCCAUUUAAACAUAUUCACUAUAAUUAAAAUUCCAGCUUAAUACUUGCCUUUUUCCAAUAGAAAAAAAACAACUUGAAUUGAAAUUAUCAAGCAAAUUGUGUGAAACGGAAGACCUCCCAGUCCACCUAACGCUGACGCUCUAUGUUAGCUAAGUUGUAAGGUUCUAUGUAUGUUAUAGAAAAAGAAGAAAGAAAAGUCUAUGAUGAGUAUUUUGAUUAACAGAUGUCAUAGUACUAUUAUUACGACAUAGAUGAAAGACUAUCUGUAUGAUAUAACCAUACUUACUUCGAGUAAGAUAAAUAAGAAAAAAAAAAGGAAGAAGCAAAGAAGGGUUUGAUUUUUUAUACAUGCGUCAAUCUUUUUGUAUCCAAUAAAAAUUGAAACUAACAUUUCCUUAGAAUUAGUUUUGCAAUAAAUAUUGUACUCCAUAAUUUGUUUUUUUUAAAGGGUUUUAGCCUGCUUAAGCUCACCUGAUUUUUACUUGAAACUUUUUGUUUUGAUUCAAUUGACUGAUGGAGUCGUCGGAUAUUGUUGCGAGUAGACAACUUCCAUUUAACAACAGAAAUUGGCUCCAAAUUGUCAGACCAUAUUGUCUACUUACUUAUUUAACUUAAAACCCGUUACAUAUUUGAUUACUUGCAAAUAUGCGUAAAUUAGAACCAAGUUGUAUUACGCGCGGUGCCUUUGAAUUGAAAUGAUGAAUGAAACUAUAUAUGCUAAGUCAAAUGGCUUGGCUUUAAAAAUGUAACCAGGAUAGAGUUAUAAAAUAAAAACGGAUUAAAAACGGUUGCCGUUUUGAAAAUCGCAGAAAUGUCACGUUACCUAAAACUGAUGUGCCGAAUCGAAUACGCCUUCGACAAACAAAAUUAUUACAUUACUUAAAUUAUUAAUUUCCAAUGCAAAAGCAAUGAAAGUAUGGUUAUAUACUCAUCAUUCGCGGUAUAUAAAACUUCAACCUCUAGAUUGUAUGACAAGUAGGUAUUCUUGGUUUAAAAAAUUACAGCAUUUUUGCGCGCCAGAGAAAUUUGUUCCCGAUAUAACAAGUGUCUAACUUUCUGACCAGGUUUUGAUGAGCUUCUAAAGCCAGUCGUAAGAUCCCAGUGUUGCGGAGAAAAAGGUAAAAAAUUAGAUUUUUCGACAACUCCAUGCAUUCUUGAAAGAUGUGCAGGGUGAUACUUCGAACAAAUAGCGCAAUUUACGUGCAUGGACUUCACACAUUUUCCGUUAAAGCACGUCACCUCGUACCACGUUACUUUAUCCGGUGGUGUAUAUUGAGACACAAUGGCACCUCACUCGUUAAUAAGGUAUACACGAAGGCACCUUGCACAAAACAGAUACAAUGUCUAUUUACUUGUCGCAAGUCCAUAAAGGUGGCACGAUUGUCGCUGCAAAAUCUCUGGCACCUACAUUUUUCUUUUGCAAAGUCCCAUUGUUUAAUUUUUAUUGACACGAGAAAACGAUUCGCCGCCUAAUCAAAACAGCUGCUUCAUAGUAUGUUAUCUUGCCGCGCACAUCGAUGUUCUAAUGGACGAGUGCAUCGGCAAGUCGUACAAACUUAAAGCUUUUAUUACAACUAAGUUUAUUUUUAUCAUUUUCAUGGCCGGCUGUGGAGUUUAAAAAUGUGGUAAACACUCAGGGAAUCUAUACACCCGUCAGUCUGAAAGAAGUCUACGAGCUGAAGUAUGGCCAGCGACUGGAAAAAGAAAAUAAUAGUCGGUAGUCAAGCCGAUGGUCGAUUCAUUUACCGUAAUGUUUAUCCCAGCCCAUAUAGAGAAG
rnacentral:lncRNA from 1 species